rnacentral:rRNA from 1 species
GGGGGGGGGGGGGGGGGGGCGGGGGAGGGGGGAGUGGGAGGGGAGGGCCCGGCGUGGGUGGGGUGCUCGAGUGGCGAACGGGGGAGUGACACGUGUGUAACCUGGCCUUGACUUUGGGAGAACGUCAGGCACCUGGGGCUAAUACCGGAUAGGCGCUCCCGCUGCGUGGUGGGGGUUGGAGAGUUUCGGCGGGUGGUGAUGGACUCGCGGCUUAUCAGCUUGUUGGUGGGGUAGUGGCUUACCAAGGCUUUGACGGGUAGCCGGCCUGAGAGGGUGACCGGCCACAUUGGGACUGAGAUACGGCCCAGACUCCUACGGGAGGCAGCAGUGGGGAAUAUUGCACAAUGGGCGGAAGCCUGAUGCAGCAACGCCGCGUGCGGGAUGACGGCCUUCGGGUUGUAAACCGCUUUCGCCUGUGACGAAGCGUGAGUGACGGUAAUGGGUAAAGAAGCACCGGCUAACUACGUG